rnacentral:sRNA from 1 species
AAAAGAAAAGAAAAUCUUGAACUUCCUACUUGACAAUCCCUUCCUCUCACUCCUCCCACUUUUAAAUGCUCUGAGAUCAGUAGUCUUUCCAGACUCUUAAGAAGUAUGGUGCCAUCUGCAGAAGCUCUUAAAAUCUUUCUAAUCCCUCUUCUCACCUCUAGUUUUUAAAGUCUUUCUAUCACCUCUUUCAUGAUGGUUUCUGAGCAUUGGCAGAGUGAGCUGUGAUACAGUUGCUUAAGAAUUGAGUAAUCCAUUGACACUUUCUGAACUUUUACAGCUCUUGAGUCUAUGUAUAAAUCUCCAUCUAAUGCAAAAUGUAUUUUUGAUGAAUGAUGAGAUAUGCACUAGUUUAUUGGUAUGAAGAAAAGAAAUUAGAAGGCAGCAGAAAGCAAUGGCUAUGUAGCAGGUGUAUGACACUGAAGACUGUGUCUACCAAACCAUUGGUUCUUGGACCAAUUUACCAUACCAAGUAUAAAUUCUGACAUGUGCAAUUGAUCUUAAAUUAAACUAGGAAGUAAUUGGCUACCCUCAUAACAUUUGAGACAAAUUUUUAACCAUGACUGUGUCUUACAGGCCAGUUAUUAUUGGAGAAUACAGAGUUCUCAAUUAAGACUUUGGAUUUCUCCACACUUCCCAGCUUUCACACAGUUUACAGCAAUGAGAACGCUUAUUCCGUAGAGGUGGAGAUUUCGGGUCAGCAGCAGCUCAAAUUCUCCAGUACUAUGGCAUGGUUUUGAAAUAAAAAGGAAGAAAUUACGAGAACAUAUUUGGCAGUACAAGAUGGUUAAUAUACAGAAGAAGUGAGAAUUCUACUCAUCUUAUCAGGGGGUUUGCUUACAUCCUCAAAAGUUAAAGGUCAAGAUGUGAACCAGGGCCGAGCUCUUCUCUGAGGACUUAUGAGAAGAAUCAUUUCCUAAGCUCUUCUUUAUUGCUCGGUCUUGAUUUCAAUAUGCAAGUGUGUUGCAGCAGCAAUGUGUAGAAGCAACGUGAGAGAAGUGAGUGGAGGAAAUAAUUUGUUUCCUGGUGAAUGCUGUCAGAUAUUUAUCUGGUACCUGAUGCCGUCAAAGUUCUCCAUCUAACCGAGAAGUUGGCCUGUCAAUCAAACCUGAGUGGGAGACACAGCCCAAGCUCCAGUUGCACAACCUUUCCCUGUUGCCGUGGAAAGAUGAAAAGGCAGAAAACAGGUUGAUAAAAGUACUCAGCUGCAAGCAUGGUAUUGUUCAAGAAACCACAACGACGACGACGACGACGACGACGAUGACAAAUAAAACCCCCAGAUGAUUACAAGGUGGAAUGUGCAGGAUCAUAGGGGACAGAGCCACAAACCAUAAAGCAGUAUUUACAUCUCUAGUAGAGACUUCUUGGCUGCAUUUAAUGACUCAACAACAUUGGCAGCUGUCAACUUCUUUCCAUCAUGAGUGGCUAUAUCUGCAAAUGUUUUCUAUGCCUGUUCAGGCACCAUAGUUUGAAAAGAGAGGCUUUUUUUUCUCGGUUUUGAGGAUCAUAUAUGAAGUGGAGUUUUACCUUGAGACAGAUAGUAGCUUACUUGUUUCUGAUUUAAAUGAUGACCAAUAUAUAAGGUUUUAUUGUUGUUGUUGUUUGUUUGUUUAAUUGAUAAGUUGAAGAUGAGAUGUUUACACUUUAUAAACUGCACUAACUUCUGACUUUUCAGGAGUGGUGGGAGUAAAGAAUAUUUUGUCUGUA